AUGGAUAAAGAAUUUUUAAAAUUUUUAGUUAAAGAUGGCAUUUCUACAAAUAUUGGUCCCAAUACAAAAGAAAUUCUAUUGCAACAGGCGGAAAGUGAAUAUUGUAAUGGUAAUAUGAUUGCCUCAAUAUUUUAUCAAACUUAUUCCUUAUAUCAGUCCUCGCAAGAACGUUACAAUCAAAGUUCUGGAAAGUGUAAUGAAAAUAAAUCUGAAAGAGCUAACAAGGCCGAAGUGGAAACUUUAAUGGCUGAAAUGAAUGCCAAAGAAAUUUCCGAGUUUAGCAGCAAUUCUCUUAUGCAAUAUGUUAGUAAAUCACUUACAAAAAUGUCGCAAAAAUCUAAAAUAAAGCAGGCAUCUUUGCAAUCAUCUAAUAGUGUGGAAAGUUGCAAUUUUCUUAAAGAUAUUACAAGUCCUGCCGAGGGCAUAACAAAGUUAAUAGAAAUAUGUCAGAAAUUGCCGGAGGAAUGGACUAUUAUACAAUUAUGUAAAGGUCCCCGUGCAGAAACCACUUACUCCAUUUUCCCCAAAAUUCAUGAAAGUGAUGCCGCCAUAUAUAUGACCUUAAUAAAACAUGGCCGCAGUUCAGAAUAUAGUACGCCAAUAUGUUUACGUUUCUCUAGUGCCGAACAAAAGAAACUUUAUGAAAGUUUCGGCGGUAUAGUCAGUCGUUUUCAGCAAUGUGUUAAAAUUGAUCCCAAAGAAGUAAAUACCACCGAAGCUAAACGUUUUUAUUGGUCACUUUUAGAUGAACUUAAUCAAUUUAUAGCAACUACCUGUACGGAUUUGUGCAAUUUUUUCUAUCCCUGGAAUUUUUUAUUUACUGGUAUAGCAUAUUCUAAGCCUCAACAAAUCCUAGUACGUCAACGUUGGUCAAAGGUUGACGAAUUUUGUGAUAUGUAUGGUUGGGAGAGUGAUGCUAGAGUAUUGCUAUCUUUGGCUGCUUCUAAUGCAGAAUCUUUGGAUUUAGUACAAAUAGAGGAUAUUUGUUCUAUACUUACUACAAAUUCUAAGCAUCAUGCCAUUGCCUGUGAUAUGUUGAAAAAGAUGCAAACGGAAAAUGACAGAGGCAAUGGAAACAAAGUGCAACAUUUUCCUUGUAUUUUAAUUGUUGAUGAGCGCCUCGAUCAUUUCUUUUGGGAAGAAAUCAAUGUACAACAAGAGUUUACUCGAGUUAAUUCCAUACAAUGUCUAUAUCGCUUAUAUAAUUAUUAUAAAUCGGAAAUAAAACACGGUUAUUUAUGUGUCAAUAUAACAGAUGGUGGUUGUCUACUUAAUCCUGAUAAAAAUUUACCCAAAAUGGAGUCACGUAUGGUUAGUUUUUUUGAAUAUUGGACACCGCAUUGGACAAUGUUAGUGGGACAACGACCGACCCAAGAUGAACUCUUCAAUAAGUAUUUAAGUCGCAGUUGUUAUGUCUAUGCUGGUCAUGGUUCUGGUUUACAAUAUAUAAAUGGUCGCAAAAUUACCAAACAUCAAAUGCAUUGUGUGGUUUUUUUAUUUGGUUGUGAUUCCUCACGUCUACAUUCAAGUGGCCUGUAUAGUGAAUUAGUAGGACCUCAUUUGUACUAUCAGGCAGCAAUGUGUCCUGCGUUAGUUGGCACUUUGAUGCCUGGCCUAGAUUGUAAUAUGGAUAGGAUAGCCACGGAAAUACUUAGUCGUUGGAUUGUACCCAAAUCUACAAAUGUUUUGCCCUGGAAUGAAAUUGAUGAAAGAGCCUGGAUAAAAGAAUUUAUCAUUAAACCCAAAACUUGCAUGACUACGACAAAGUCUACUACUACAAUACCACCAUCUGUGGCCACCACACCCAAUUAUAAUGUGGGUAGUUUGUGUACCAUAUUAGCUAGAGUUCAUCAGCGUGUAUGUGAACCAAAACUCUAUAAUACUGUACCCUAUGUUUGUCGUGGUCUACCAGUCUGGAAUUGUAAUGUAGAACCACUAAAUACCUCGACAACUUGAAUUUAAAAUAAACAAAUUUCAGCCAAAAAAAAAAGAAGCUGUUAUAAAUGCUACAUAUUGCUGUUCAAACAUUUUGCUCUAGUUCUAAAAAAAAAAACAAAAAAACAAAUCUACGACAUCUUUUUAAGUACAUAGUUUAUAUAAGUUUGUGUGAGAAAUAAAACUUUGUUCUUUCACGGCUUAAGGAAACUAAACACACUUUCAUACACAACACUCUACAUACUACAAAUUCGUAAUGAAAUGCAAAUGUUUUCCUUGUUGUUAAAUACUACAACAACAGCAACAACAAUGUACGACAACAUAUUAUCAUACGUAUUAUUCGUAUUAUAUAUUCAUAUUCCUGUACAUACAACAAAUGCAGAUGAUGAUGAUGAUGAAACUACUUGAGAUGUGUAACCAUUUACACUAACACACUUAAAACUGUGAAUGGAUACAACAAUGACUACAACGACCAACAAACAUGAACCGGAGAUAACCUGAAACCCAAAAAAGGAAGACACAAGAAUCGAUACUUGCUUGUCAUCCAUCUAGGAACAAAAAAUAUUUUUUAUAUAAAAAAUAUAUAUAUAAUCAUAAAAAAACUGAAUAAAAUAAUAUAAAAUUGUACCCAAGGCGAAUAAAAAAAAGAAAAAUGAAAUGCAACAAAAAAGUCGUAGCAUGUGUAUUGAAAGCACAUUAUGUUAGUAAGGAUGUGCUACUAUGUUCUCUCUCUACAUACACACGCUCCCUUGUAUUUAUAUUGAAAAGGAAAUAAUAUAUAAAUGUUAUAAUAUACGAGAUGUUUACAAGCCUCACAUCAAAAACAAAAUAAUUUUUUUAUAUUAUUAUAAAGAGAAGGACCUUAUACUAAAUUUUGUGAAAUAUUCUAUAUUAUGUACUUAUACUUUUGUGCCACAAACACUACAAACCAUCUUAAAAAAGAAUUAAAUCUUUAGGAAAUAAUAAAAGAGAAUAAUUACAAAAUUAUCCCUAUUUGUUUAUGAUAUUUGUAAUUAGAU